UACGGGGGGAGCAAGCGUUGUUCGGAUUUACUGGCGUAAAGGGCGCGUAGGCGGCCAGCACAAGUCAGUUGUGAAAUCUCCGGGCUUAACUCGGAAAGGUCAACUGAUACUGUGCGGCUAGAGUGCGGAAGGGGCAACUGGAAUUCUCGGUGUAGCGGUGAAAUGCGUAGAUAUCGAGAGGAACACCUGCGGCGAAGGCGGGUUGCUGGGCCGACACUGACGCUGAGGCGCGAAAGCCAGGGGAGCGAACGGG
rnacentral:rRNA from 1 species